UGGGAGGUGGUGACGAGAGUACUUUGCCACGGAGGGGGGGCUGAUGAGGCACAUAGAACUCGCACGAGAAAGGGGGGGAAAGUCUGGUGCCCAGCAGCCCGCGGUAAUUCCCAGCUUCCAGUAGUGUACCCUUGAUGCUUGUUGGGUUUAAAAACGCUUGGUAGUUGAAUCACGAAAGUGGUGGUCGGCUCAAUCGGCCCUUGCCGAACCAUAAAAAACCGGCUCCCAUAGCUGGCUCGCAUGUGCUAUCAUGGCGGGCUGCGGUGUGUGGAUCGGCGUUCGGCUGGGUCGCAUGUUAACGCCGGCCCGCCACUAAUUGCGUGUGAGGAUGGCAGUUGACCCUUUAGUGCGUCGACUACCCGUGUCUCACAGGGUGUGCCUUGAAUAAAUCAGAGUGCUUAACAGCAGGCCCCCUCGCCUGAAUGAUAAAGCAUGGAACGAACAAACGUGGAAUAGUACAGCGUGCGGCUGUCCGGUCUGUCUCUGGCAGACUGCGGUCAGUCGGCGUUGUACAGCACCAACCACCAGUAUCGGCAUGUUGGUUCUCCGUAUUGGGGUAAUGAUUAAAGAGGAGCGGUUGGAGGCAUUGGUAUUUGGCCGCGAGAGGUGAAAUUCUUGGACCGGCCAAGGACUAACAAAUGCGAAGGCAUCUGCCUAGACCGUUUCCAUUAAUCAAGAACGAUAGUGGGCAGGUUCGAAGACGAUCAGAUACCGUCCUAGUUCCCACCGUAAACUAUGCCGACUCGGGAUCAGUUUGGUGAUAUUACCUUCACGCUCGAGAUUGGUCCCCCUGGGAAACCUUAAGUCUUUCGGUUACGGGGGGAGUAUGGUCGCAAGGCUGAAACUUAAAGGAAUUGACGGAAGGGCACCACCUCAGGUUUGAGCCUGCGGCUUAAUUUGACUCAACCGGGACACGCCCCCCUCCUACAUCGAUAGGAUAGACAGACUGAUAGAUCUUUCUUGAUACGGUGAAU
rnacentral:rRNA from 1 species